rnacentral:rRNA from 1 species
ACGCUCGACACCUACGGGAGCAGCAGUGGGGAAUAUUGGGCAAUGGGCGCAAGCCUGACCCAGCAACGCCGCGUGAAGGAAGAAGGCUUUCGGGUUGUAAACUUCUUUUGUCAGGGAACAGUAGAAGAGGGUACCUGACGAAUAAGCCACGGCUAACUACGUGCCAGCAGCCGCGGUAAUCUGAGCGGGCUGGCAAGGC